rnacentral:rRNA from 1 species
CCUACGGGCGGCAGCAGUGGGGAAUAUUGGACAAUGGGGGCAACCCUGAUCCAGCCAUGCCGCGUGUGUGAGGAAGGCCCUCGGGUUGUAAAGCACUUUCAGUGAGGAAGAACGCCUGGUGGUUAAUACCCAUCAGGAAAGACAUCACUCACAGAAGAAGCACCGGCUAACUCCGUGCCAGCAGCCGCGGUAAUACGGAGGGUGCGAGCGUUAAUCGGAAUUACUGGGCGUAAAGCGCGCGUAGGUGGCUUGAUAAGCCGGUUGUGAAAGCCCCGGGCUCAACCUGGGAACGGCAUCCGGAACUGUCAAGCUAGAGUGCAGGAGAGGAAGGUAGAAUUCCCGGUGUAGCGGUGAAAUGCGUAGAGAUCGGGAGGAAUACCAGUGGCGAAGGCGGCCUUCUGGACUGACACUGACACUGAGGUGCGAAAGCGUGGGUAGCAAACAGGAUUAGAUACCCCAGUAGUC